UUAAGUGACUAAGCGUACACGGUGGAUGCCUGGGCAGUCAGAGGCGAUGAAGGACGUACUAACUUGCGAUAAGCGCAGAUAAGGCAGUAAGAGCCGUUUGAGUCUGCGAUUUCCGAAUGGGGAAACCCAACUGCAUAAGCAGUUACUGUUAACUGAAUACAUAGGUUAACAGAGCAAACCGGGGGAACUGAAACAUCUAAGUACCCCGAGGAGAAGAAAUCAACCGAGAUUCCGGUAGUAGCGGCGAGCGAACCUGGAUUAGCCCUUAAGCACUCGGUGAAGUAGGUGAACAAGCUGGAAAGCUUGGCGAUACAGGGUGAUAGCCCCGUAACCGACGCUUCAUCGAGCGUGAAAUCGAGUAGGGCGGGACACGUGAUAUCCUGUCUGAAUAUGGGGGGACCAUCCUCCAAGGCUAAAUACUCCUGACUGACCGAUAGUGAACCAGUACCGUGAGGGAAAGGCGAAAAGAACCCCUGUGAGGGGAGUGAAAUAGAACCUGAAACCGUGUACGUACAAGCAGUAGGAGCACCUUCGUGGUGUGACUGCGUACCUUUUGUAUAAUGGGUCAGCGACUUAUAUUCAGUGGCAAGGUUAACCGUAUAGGGGAGCCGUAGCGAAAGCGAGUCUUAACUGGGCGCUCAGUCUCUGGAUAUAGACCCGAAACCGGGUGAUCUAGCCAUGGGCAGGUUGAAGGUUGAGUAACAUCAACUGGAGGACCGAACCGACUAAUGUUGAAAAAUUAGCGGAUGACUUGUGGCUAGGGGUGAAAGGCCAAUCAAACUCGGAGAUAGCUGGUUCUCCCCGAAAGCUAUUUAGGUAGCGCCUCGGACGAAUACUACUGGGGGUAGAGCACUGUUAAGGCUAGGGGGUCAUCCCGACUUACCAACCCUUUGCAAACUCCGAAUACCAGUAAGUACUAUCCGGGAGACACACGGCGGGUGCUAACGUCCGUCGUGGAGAGGGAAACAACCCAGACCGCCAGCUAAGGUCCCAAAGUAUUGCUAAGUGGGAAACGAUGUGGGAAGGCUCAGACAGCUAGGAUGUUGGCUUAGAAGCAGCCAUCAUUUAAAGAAAGCGUAAUAGCUCACUAGUCGAGUCGGCCUGCGCGGAAGAUGUAACGGGGCUAAGCAAUACACCGAAGCUGCGGCAAUGUCUUUUAGAUAUUGGGUAGGGGAGCGUUCUGUAAGCCGUUGAAGGUGAAUCGUAAGGUUUGCUGGAGGUAUCAGAAGUGCGAAUGCUGACAUGAGUAACGACAAAGGGGGUGAAAAACCUCCUCGCCGGAAGACCAAGGGUUCCUGUCCAACGUUAAUCGGGGCAGGGUGAGUCGACCCCUAAGGUGAGGCCGAAAGGCGUAAUCGAUGGGAAACGGGUUAAUAUUCCCGUACUUCUGACUAUUGCGAUGGGGGGACGGAGAAGGCUAGGUGGGCCAGGCGACGGUUGUCCUGGUUCAAGUGCGUAGGCUUGAG
rnacentral:rRNA from 1 species